rnacentral:piRNA from 1 species
UACUGUAUUUCACUUAUGUUGAGGUCUCUG